AAGUCUUGUGGCCGCCAUGACCCUUUCCUCAUCAAACCAAGGAUUUCAGUUUUUGAUCUUGAGUUUUGGGUUUAAGAAAAGUGGAAGUAGCAAGUUCGCCUAACAUUCCUCAAUAGGUUUUUCGGGUCUUUCAUCUGAUAUUUCUUUUAAUCUAUAUUCUUCCGGGUUCUUAGUUUCUGAUAAUAGUUGGACUUUGUUGAGUGUUCCUGCUUCUUCAGUUUUGGUCAGUAUGCCUUGCUUGUUUUGCGAGACUUUCCUUUUAGUUUUGAUUCGAUAUCUUAGACGCUCUACUAUUACCUUGUUUUAAUUAAGUUUGGAUUUUGACAAUGUAAUGAGUAUUAUGGAUUAUUGUUUUUGUUUUAAUUACUGAUGAGGAGUUUUAAACUAUCUUUUGGUUUCAUCAGUUUUGAAUAAUAUAAUAUUUCUGAAGAUUAUGAAA